GUCUAUACGAUAUUAUAUAUUUAGUCUAACCUGCCCAAUGAAUUUUAAAUGGCCGCGGUAUUUUGACCGUGCAAAGGUAGCAUAAUAAUUAGUUUUUUAAUUGAAAGCUUGUAUGAAAGGUUGAACAAAGAGUAAACUGUUUCUAUUUUUAAGUUUAAAGUUUACUUUUAAGUGAAAAGGCUUAAAUAAACUUAAGAGACGAUAAGACCCUAUAAAUCUUUAUAGAUUUUUUUUUAAAAAUUUUUAUUUUGUUUAUUUUAAUUUAUAAAAAUAAUAUAUUAUGUUGGGGUGACAAGAAUAUUUUCAAAAAACUGUUCUAAAUAGACACAAUCAUAUUUGUAGUUUAGUAGUAGACCCUUAAAUUAAGAUUAAAAGUUUAAGUUACUUUAGGGAUAACAGCGUAAUUUUUUUUGAGAGUUCUUAUCGAAAAAAAAGUUUGCGACCUCGAUGUUGAAUUAAAAUUUCUUUAAUGAUGCAGAAGUCAUAAAAGUGAGUCUGUUCGACUUUUAAAAUUUU
rnacentral:rRNA from 1 species